rnacentral:rRNA from 1 species
ACGGGAGGCAGCAGUGGGGGAUAUUGCACAAUGGGGGAAACCCUGGUGCAGCGACGCCGCGUGAGUGAUGAAGUAUUUCGGUAUGUAAAGCUCUAUCAGCAGGGAAGAAAAUGACGGUACCUGACUAAGAAGCACCGGCUAAAUACGUGCCAGCAGCCGCGGUAAUACGUAUGGUGCAAGCGUUAUCCGGAUUUACUGGGUGUAAAGGGAGCGUAGACGGCAUAGCAAGCCAGAUGUGAAAGGUGGGGGCUCAACCCCCAAGCUGCAUUUGGAACUGUUAAGCUAGAGUAUCGGAGAGGUAAGUGGAAUUCCUAGUGUAGCGGUGAAAUGCGUAGAUAUUAGGAGGAACACCAGUGGCGAAGGCGGCUUACUGGACGAUAACUGACGUUGAGGCUCGAAAGCGUGGGGAGCAAACAGGAUUAGAUACCCUGGUA